rnacentral:tRNA from 1 species
GCGGGGGUAGCCAAGUCUGGUCAAAGGCGCAGGGCUUAGGACCCUGUCCCGUAGGGGUUCGUGGGUUCAAAUCCCACCCCCCGCA